rnacentral:rRNA from 1 species
ACGAACGCUGGCGGCGUGCCUAACACAUGCAAGUCGAACGAAGUGUAUGGGGCUUGCUCUGUACACUUAGUGGCAAACGGGUGCGUAACACGUGAGGAACAUUCCCCCCGGCGGGGGAUAGCCGGCCCAACGGCCGGGUAAUACCGCGUACGACCUUCGGGGCUCCUGCCCUGGAGGUGAAAGCAGCAAUGCGCCGGGAGAGUGCCUCGCGCCGUAUCAGCUAGUUGGUGAGGUAACGGCUCACCAAGGCUACGACGCGUAGCUGGUCUGAGAGGAUGGCCAGCCACAUUGGGACUGAGACACGGCCCAGACUCCUACGGGAGGCAGCAGUGGGGAAUAUUGCGCAAUGGGCGAAAGCCUGACGCAGCGACGCCGCGUGUGGGAUGAAGGUCUUCGGAUCGUAAACCACUGUCGGGAGGGACGAAGUUCUGACGGUACCUCCAAAGGAAGCACCGGCUAACUCUGU